AGACCCUAUUCAAAGCACACACUUUAUACACAGAAACCCGUGAGGCGUGUAUCAUUUCCUCCAUUUCACAGAGGAGGAGACUGAGCCCCUGAGAGUCUGGAUGAAUUGCCUAACAUCACACAGCUAUUAAGGGCAGCCCAGUACUCUCUAAGGGAUGAAAACUGUGAAUUGAUAUACACACCCAGAGCCUCCACCAGCAGCCAUAAAGUUUGCAGCCAAGACAAAAUUCACAGAUCGCCAGAUGUGGAAACCACCUUCAUUUUACUUAGUGGAUAUGAGGUGAAUAACGUGCCAAGAUUGGAAGAGGGAGAGGAGGAGAGAGAGUUUGGGCUACUAAUCAGGACGGAUCAGCUGAGGCCCUGUGCAAAAUUAAAAUGCGAGACCCCUUAAAAAGUCAAGAAUUUCAUGACGGCAAAAAUACAGCAUUCAGUCAAACACAGAGCCCUCUGAGCACAAUCUCAGUGCAACUGCAGGGUCACACACCCAUGCAGCGUCCUGGCUCUGGAUCUAAUGCCCUUUCCUCUGUUACCUGCUGACUUCUCCUUUCUCCUUGUUCCCCUUCCCAGCCUCCAUAAAUUCUAAGUAACAAAGAAAUAAAUGCUAUAUUUAAGUUUG